rnacentral:rRNA from 1 species
GAUUAAGUUAUUAAGGGCGCACGGUGGAUGCCUUGGCACUAGAAGCCGAUGAAGGACGUUACUAACGACGAUAUGCUUUGGGGAGCUGUAAGUAAGCUUUGAUCCAGAGAUUUCCGAAUGGGGAAACCCAGCAUGAGUUAUGUCAUGUUAUCGAUAUGUGAAUACAUAGCAUAUCAGAAGGCACACCCGGAGAACUGAAACAUCUUAGUACCCGGAGGAAGAGAAAGAAAAUUCGAUUCCCUUAGUAGCGGCGAGCGAAACGGGAAGAGCCCAAACCAACAAGCUUGCUUGUUGGGGUUGUAGGACACUCUAUACGGAGUUACAAAGGACGACAUUAGACGAAUCAUCUGGAAAGAUGAAUCAAAGAAGGUAAUAAUCCUGUAGUCGAAAAUGUUGUCUCUCUUGAGUGGAUCCUGAGUACGACGGAGCACGUGAAAUUCCGUCGGAAUCUGGGAGGACCAUCUCCUAAGGCUAAAUACUCUCUAGUGACCGAUAGUGAACCAGUACCGUGAGGGAAAGGUGAAAAGCACCCCGGAAGGGGAGUGAAAUAGAACCUGAAACCGUGUGCUUACAAGUAGUCAGAGCCCGUUAAUGGGUGAUGGCGUGCCUUUUGUAGAAUGAACCGGCGAGUUACGAUUUGAUGCAAGGUUAAGCAGUAAAUGUGGAGCCGUAGCGAAAGCGAGUCUGAAUAGGGCGUUUAGUAUUUGGUCGUAGACCCGAAACCAGGUGAUCUACCCUUGGUCAGGUUGAAGUUCAGGUAACACUGAAUGGAGGACCGAACCGACUUACGUUGAAAAGUGAGCGGAUGAACUGAGGGUAGCGGAGAAAUUCCAAUCGAACCUGGAGAUAGCUGGUUCUCUCCGAAAUAGCUUUAGGGCUAGCCUCAAGUGAUGAUUAUUGGAGGUAGAGCACUGUUUGGACGAGGGGCCCCUCUCGGGUUACCGAAUUCAGACAAACUCCGAAUGCCAAUUAAUUUAACUUGGGAGUCAGAACAUGGGUGAUAAGGUCCGUGUUCGAAAGGGAAACAGCCCAGACCACCAGCUAAGGUCCCAAAAUAUAUGUUAAGUGGAAAAGGAUGUGGCGUUGCCCAGACAACUAGGAUGUUGGCUUAGAAGCAGCCAUCAUUUAAAGAGUGCGUAAUAGCUCACUAGUCGAGUGACACUGCGCCGAAAAUGUACCGGGGCUAAACAUAUUACCGAAGCUGUGGAUUGUCCUUUGGACAAUGGUAGGAGAGCGUUCUAAGGGCGUUGAAGCAUGAUCGUAAGGACAUGUGGAGCGCUUAGAAGUGAGAAUGCCGGUGUGAGUAGCGAAAGACGGGUGAGAAUCCCGUCCACCGAUUGACUAAGGUUUCCAGAGGAAGGCUCGUCCGCUCUGGGUUAGUCGGGUCCUAAGCUGAGGCCGACAGGCGUAGGCGAUGGAUAACAGGUUGAUAUUCCUGUACCACCUAUAAUCGUUUUAAUCGAUGGGGGGACGCAGUAGGAUAGGCGAAGCGUGCGAUUGGAUUGCACGUCUAAGCAGUAAGGCUGAGUAUUAGGCAAAUCCGGUACUCGUUAAGGCUGAGCUGUGAUGGGGAGAAGACAUUGUGUCUUCGAGUCGUUGAUUUCACACUGCCGAGAAAAGCCUCUAGAUAGAAAAUAGGUGCCCGUACCGCAAACCGACACAGGUAGUCAAGAUGA